rnacentral:tRNA from 1 species
GGAAUGUAGCUCAGUGGUAGAACAUAUGCAUAACAUGCUCAAGGCCCUGGGUUCAGUUCACAGCACCA